GGAGAUAUAGCUCAGUUGGCAGAGUGCUUGCCUAAUAUGUAAAAUGCCUUGGGUUCAACCCAUAGCACCA
rnacentral:tRNA from 1 species